rnacentral:rRNA from 1 species
UACAGAGGUCCCAAGCGUUGUUCGGAUUCAUUGGGCGUAAAGGGUGCGUAGGCGGCGCGGUAAGUCGAGUGUGAAAUCUCGGAGCUUAACUUCGAAACUGCAUUCGAUACUGCCGUGCUUGAGGACUGGAGAGGAGACUGGAAUUUACGGUGUAGCGGUGAAAUGCGUAGAUAUCGUAAGGAAGACCAGUGGCGAAGGCGGGUCUCUGGACAGUUCCUGACGCUGAGGCACGAAGGUCAGGGGAGCAAACGGG